rnacentral:rRNA from 1 species
UGGUCUUGACAUGUACGGAACCCUCCAGAGACGGAGGGGUGCUUUCGGGAGCCGUAACACAGGUGCUGCAUGGCUGUCGUCAGCUCGUGUCGUGAGAUGUUGGGUUAAGUCCCGCAACGAGCGCAACCCUUGUCAUUAGUUGCCAUCAUUAAGUUGGGCACUCUAAUGAGACUGCCGGUGACAAGCCGGAGGAAGGUGGGGAUGACGUCAAGUCCUCAUGGCCCUUAUGACCAGGGCUUCACACGUCAUACAAUGGUCGGUACAGAGGGUAGCCAAGCCGCGAGGUGGAGCCAAUCUCACAAAACCGAUCGUAGUCCGGAUUGCACUCUGCAACUCGAGUGCAUGAAGUCGGAAUCGCUAGUAAUCGCAGGUCAGCAUACUGCGGUGAAUACGUUCCCGGGUCUUGUACACACCGCCCGUCACACCAUGGGAGUGGGGGAUACCAGAAGUAGGUAGGGUAACCGCAAGGAGCCCGCUUACCACGGUAUGCUUCAUGACUGGGGUGAAGUCGUAACAAGGUAACCGUAAAUCGAAUCCCGCGGCCGCC